UUGACGGGGCCGCACAAGCAGCGAGCAUGUGGUUUAAUUCGAAGCAACGCGAAGAACCUUACCUAGACUUGACAUCUCCUGAAUUACCCGUAACUGGGGAAGCUCUUCGGAGCAGGAAGACAGGUGGUGCAUGGUUGUCGUCAGCUCGUGUCGUGAGAUGUCGGGUUAAGUCCCGCAACGAGCGCAACCCUUAUCGUUAGUUGCUACCAUUAGGUUGAGCACUCUAGCGAGACUGCCCGGGUUAACCGGGAGGAAGGUGGGGAUGACGUCAAAUCAUCAUGCCCCUUAUGUCUAGGGCUACACACGUGCUACAAUGGUGAGGACAAAGAGACGCAAGACCGCGAGGUGGAGCAAAUCUCACAAACCUCAUCCCAGUUCGGAUUGCAGGCUGAAACUCGCCUGCAUGAAGCCGGAGUUGCUAGUAAUCGCGAAUCAGCAUGUCGCGGUGAAUACGUUCCCGGGCCUU
rnacentral:rRNA from 1 species